ACAUGAAAUAUCGGCCAAAGGCCGAUGUGAAAUAUUCGACUUCGUCGAAUGUGAAAUGUUCGUCUCCGACGAACGUGAUAAUUACC
rnacentral:sRNA from 1 species